AUGAUGAAGCUGUGGAGCCGCGUCUGCUUCCUGGUUCUAGUUAUUUCCAGGACGUCCAGAGGACAGACCGUCACCAUGACGACGGCACACAGCGAUGAAGCUACAGGCACAAACUCAUCCAUGAAAGCUUUCGAUGAAUCUGCAAAUCAAACUGAAGCUCCCGCCACAGAGACUCCUCUACACGUUACAACUGAUCUGAGUCGCACACUAGCAAAACAUGUCACCUCCAACACAACAGAGGAAGUCAGUGGCAGCACAGUGGCACCGAACACAGCCUCACACACUGAGGCGGAGGCUGACACCAAGCCUGAUGACGUCACAACGGUUUCCAUGACGACAGGAAGCCCGUCAGCUAAGCCAGCGGCAGUGUCUUCAUCCUGGGGUUACGUGAUCCUGGUGUUGAUCAUCCUCGUGAUCGUCGUCCUGUGUGUCAUCCUCUACUUACUGCGACGCGUCUCCAGGACGUACUCGUUUGACCUUCAGCGCCCGAGUCCCAGUCACCACAACGAACCCACGGGCACCUUUGAGCCCGUUCACCUGGACGACCUCGAUCGUCCGGUCCCUAAAGACGAAAUUCACGCCGAUGACCUUUCACCUCCUCCAGUAGCCAACAGCACGAGUCCUCCAUCAGAGGAGAAGGCGCCUAAUGGAGAGACCGUGACUCCACCGGAGCAGCCUGAUGGGAGCGGCGUGGAGCCUCCCCCGGUCGGUACCUCCAGCCCCGCGGCAGCAGAGGAGCCCGCGGACCCGGCCUCCGGUGCCUCUGACGGAACCCACGCGUUCUUUGAUGAUGCGGGAAAAGAGCAGCAGAAUGAGAACAACAACAACCCCUGCACCACCGUUGGCUCCAGCGGUCCGUUUGUUGAGAUAAACCUGGACGAGCCGGCGCUGUGUGACCAGCUGCUGACUUCAACGGCAGCUCCGUCCUCCGUCCUCCCGUUCUCACCGUUCUCCUUCCCGUCGUCUUCUUAGCACUAAGACCAGAACAAAAAGAACAUCAGGACAUCAGGACAUCGGAACAGACUGAACAUUAACCCUUUUAUUUGUUUAUCGGUGCUCAGUUUGACUCCUUUUCUUCAAACAGAGGCUGUUAAUGAAAAUUACAAAUGUGUUGAUUUACCAGUGUGACUGCUGACAGAUGGUUUCAUCAUCAGCUGUUGUCUGAUGCUUCUGUUGGGACCAACCUGCCUCUGAUGGGAGUCGGUACUGAGCCUGAAGCCUCUGAUGUAACAACGUCUGUGUGCAGCGUAUAUUUGCUGUGUACAUACUGUAAACUCUGAUUCAGUGAUUCAGUCUCAGACCGUUUUACAGUCGUAGGUUUUUAGUUUUGUAAAAUUGUUUUUAUUAAGAAAUUGAUUUUUGUAGAAAAAGAAAAUAAAAAAGAAAUGAUGACACA
rnacentral:lncRNA from 1 species